GAAUAAGCCUCACAAGAUAAGAUGGGUUUAUCAGGGGUUUCUGCUUUUGCUUCCUCCUCAUCUUCUCUUGCUACCACCAUGUAAGAAGUGCCUUUCAGCUCCCACCAUAAUUCUGACAUCUCCUCAGCCAUGUGGAACUCAAGAAUUUGUUUGUACCAGCUCUAUGCCAUACACCGUGAUAGACACACCAGACGUGGAAGUGAGAAAUAUGGUUCCCAUCUUGGAUAGCAAAGAAGAUGGACAAAUAAACCAACAAAUUAAACACAGAAAAACGUUUUCUAAAGGAAGGAGGUUUCUUGAAGGAAGUGGUACUUCUGUUGAAAUAUGAAAGAUGAGUGAGGGUUAGUCACAUACAGAAAGGGAGAAGGGAGUAUCCAAUGUAGAUAGAACAGCAUAUGAAAAGCACAGAGAUGUGAGAGAGCAGGUAGGCAUUGCUGUAAAUCCAGGUGGAUGUAAAAAAAAUCAGAGCCUUGCAGGAACUAGGUUGUAGAAAGCUCUGUGGACUAAGUUUAGUUGGUUUAACUUUAUCCUAAAAGUCACAGGAAAAUAUUAAAGAUGUUUAAAAAAGAAAAAAAAGCAGAUUUUCAUUUUAUUAACAAAACAUAACUCUGGCAGCAGGUGUGGAAAAUGGAUGGAGGGGCCAGGACCAGAAGAAAGACACCUGUUACUGAAGCAAUGCAGAUGGGAAAUGAUGGAGACCUAGAUGUAGACCAUGCCAGCAAAGACGGAGGGGCAGAAUUGAGUAAUACUUGUAGAACUAAUGUAACUUACAGGAUGAUUAGAUACAUAGAAAGGAGACUAACUCAAUCCUUUAUUUUUCUUCCUUUUUCAAAAGUUUUUUUAAGACUAUAUUACUAUCUUUUCCCCAUUCCCUCCAUACUUAAUAUGACAGUUAGCUAAUUUUACUUGAAUACCUAUGUCUUAUUCUUUACCAACACCAUCAAGCAGCAGCAUCUCCCUACCACCACCACAACAAGCAGCAAGUGUUUAUGGAGCACCUCUUAAUAAAUUAUCCUUUGUCUUGUUUUGUGACAAAUUUACAUUCCUCUCUGCUUUACUUUUGCUUUAUCCUGUAUUUUUCAUUGUUCUGUGGUUUAGCGUGUAUUUUCUUCUGCUCUUCCAGGACCAUAGGAUUUCAGAGCUUGUUACUUAAGUUCUCAGGUUUUUGAUAUGUACUUGGAAUUUUAUUUUUUACUACUUUCUCAAAGUAAUGCUCCACAAAUAUUUCUUAUGUAAUUCCAAUGCAUCUAAAGAGAUUUAGCAUUUGAGUUUUAUGUUAAACCAAUAAACUGAUUAAAGCCAUAAUUAGCAAUCACCAACUUUUAUCUGGAAAUAAACUGAAAACUAUUAUUCACUUACUAAGGCUCUGGUGUACUUAUUUCUGUAAAGAGAACACUAUACUUUGCUCAAAGAAGUAAUACAAUUUAUAUUUUCUCCUGUUCUCAUGUGUGCAAAUUAUGUUCAUUUUAUUGUACAGGCUAUAUAUCUUCUGCAAUACCUUCAUCUGCCUGUAGGUGUAAAGUUAAAAUUCAGCUCUUCUGUCAAGGUAAGAAAUUA
rnacentral:lncRNA from 1 species